UGUAAGAGCAGUGACAGGACAGGGGGAAAUAACAAAGGGGUACUGUGAACUGCUUCGAAAGGAUCAUUAUGAGAAUCUAGGAAAAUCUUAUGAUUUUUCUAAGAAACUGGGGCAGAGCAAAGAAAAACCUAGUUGAGAGAAGGAUUCUGACCCUGCUCUCAUGUCCCAGCCAGUGUUCCCUAUUUGUGACAUCAAACAAUGCCCCCAGAAUGGCUACUACUGUGGUGCAUUCACCACGUAGCUGAGAACACCCUCUCAAACCCAGCCCCCAUCCAGGAGCAAUCCAGGAGCCCACCUAGAAUCACCUCAACAGAACAAGAUGUUCUUAGUGCUAUCACUUAGAAAUUUACAAGGUUUUUAGGAACGUUGUGUCAUCAAUGGAGGUAAAAGACCAACAUCAGAACAAAAGAUGCUCCUAGUGUUCUUAUCACUGAGUAAAUGACACAGGUUUUAGGAGCUCUGUGCCAGGAAGAGGGGUUAGAAAUCAAUAUAUAUUUUCUAUUAUUUUACAACAGUAUAUUCACAGAGUCGUGUGACCAUCAACACUAUCUAACUUCAGACAUUUUCAUCACUCCCCAAAAGAAACCCUAUACUCAUUAGUAUUCCCCUCCCACUCUCCUCAAUCCCUGGCAACUGUGAAUCUACUGUGCGUGUCUAGUAAUUUGCCUAUUCUGGUUUUGUGUGACUUUUUCACUUGGCAUAAGGUUUUCAGGGUUUAUUCAUUUUGUAGCUUGUAUCAGUACUUCAUUCCUUUUCAUGGCAGAAUAAUAUUCCAUAUUCUAUAUAUACACGCACACCCCAAUUUGUUUAUCCAUUCAUUAGUUGAUGGACAUUCAGGUUAUUUCCACUUCUGGACUACCCCACUAAUUUUUUUCCCAUUCCUUUUUUCUCUCUGCCCUUCUUCCUAACUUUCUACUCCUGCUCUAAAUAGGAAAUUAAUAAUGUUACUAUUAUCCUCUACUUAAAUGCAUGCCUAAAGGUUUUCAAUGGUGCAGAUUUUCCUUAAAAUUCACUGUUCUAAGCACACCUUCUCCAUUCCAACUGACAACAGAGGUCACCUCGGCAUGUGUGUAACCAUUGUGGAGAUUAAAUGACAGAAUGGGUACAAAAGACACUACUCAAAAUUAAACAUACACAAGGGACUAUUUUGAGGGACUUUCUACCAUUUCAUGCUCAGGAUUUACUUAGGAACUUUUGAGAUGGCAUCAUCUUGUUGAGUUUCUCUUCUCUGGAACAUAAAUUCCUAAGGACAGAGAUAACGACACCCAUUUAUCUGUGUAAGAUCAGUACAGUUCAAAGGCAACAUCUGGUUCCUUAUACUAGCUGAAAAUGGAAGUAUUAAUAAUAUUACACAUUUACAGUGAGCUCAUCAUGGGUCAGACACUGUGCUAAAUGCUUUACAUAGGUUACGUUUUAUGUUCAUUACAACUUUUAUGAAGUAAACACUAUCAUCAUCUUCAAAUUCUGGAUGAGGAAACAGUCUAAGAGGUUAAGAAUCUCACCCAGGGUCAUAGAGAUAGACAGGGGAAUGGCUAAGGUGCAGGAGUGUCUGACUCUGUUGCCCUGAUCUUAACCAAUACACUUUACUGACAGUGUUGAGAUUAACCAAAUACACAAAAAGUAACAUUCAGAUCCUAUGCAUAUAUACUCAGAAAAUUGCUACUAUAACUAAGUACAAGAUGAUCUUGUAGUAAAAGUUAGACGCUUACAGUUUUGAAGUUUUGAAGUGACACUCAACAUCCUCAAGGGCUUAAGCAGAGAUAGGAAAAAGCAGUGGAAGGGCCAGAUCUGUAGUUUAAAGAGAUGACUGCUUGGCAGAGAAUGAACCUGAACGGGGACAGAGCUGGAGCCAGGGACAUGAGAGGUCCUAAGGCAGUGAUAGAAGGAAAAUUGAGAAGAGAGGACAAAUUCAACAAUCACAUCAGGUAAAAUCAGAGAACCUUGUUAAAUGACUACACAUGAAAGAUGAAUAACUCAGGGAAGAAGUCCAUCAACAGUGGCUUCAGGAUCUUAGCUUAAUUCAAGCCAGUGCCAUGAACGGAGAUAAAGGAACAGGUUUACGGAAUAGGUUAUUAGUUCAAUAGCGGAUGUGUUAAAUCCAACAUGGCUCUAGGGUUUCCAAACGGAGAUAGCUGGCAGGCAACAGGAUACAUAAGACAGAAGCUCAGAAGAGAAGCUGGGGAUGGAAAUGAAAAUUUGGAAGCCAUCUGCAUAUACCACUGGGAGCCAUCUACCAUCAGAGUAGAUGAAAUCACCCCCCAAGAACGUGUUGAACGAUAAGAGAAUUAGAACAUGACCCAAACAUAAAGGAGUUUUUUUGGCUGAUGGAACUGUUCUACAUUUUGACUGUGGUAGUGAUUACAUGACUUUAUGUGUCUCUCAAAAUUCACAGAAAUGAAUGCUAAAAAGGAAUGAAAUUAACUGCAAAGAAAUUAUAUGCAAUAAAUCUAAAGGGAAAAAAAAGAGCAAUGAGUAGUGUUACAUGUGGUGAACAUAUCAUAAAAUAGCAUGCUGGGAACAGAAAGCAGAUGAUGUUAGUUGAAUAGUGAACAGAGAAAUAGAAAUGAUAUACUCUUCUUGGGAAGCCUGGAUGAGAAGAGCAAGAAUGAGGUUAAAUGACAGCAAAAUGGACAUGUAGGACUGAGGAAGGAUUUGUAGUAUGAGAUGGACUUCAGCAGAUUUAGAGAAAGAAGUCUGUGGAAAGGUAGUGAAUACACAUGAGACUGCAAGGGACAACUAACAGACUCCGAUGAAGUUUGGAUAGAGACAGGUUGGUACCUCCAGCAGAAGUUUGAAAAAGGCAUACUCAAUGCACUCAGUACUCUAAAGAAUGACAUAAAGCCAUCUAUCUGCUGAGGGUGUGGAGGGUUGGGCUGAGUACAGGAUUUUAUAAAAGGCAAGUCAUAAAAGGAAUGGCUGGGGACAGAGAGCACGGAUUUGUAGAUACAUUCACAGUGGUAUAAUCUUGCCCAGUAGUACUCUGCCUACUGGAACUGAAGAAUAGAGAGGAUGGGAGUAUAGCUAACUAAUGUUUCUCAGAAAGAAAAGGGGGUAGGAAAACCACAAAUUUUCAUAAAAGGAUAGCUCAGAUAAUCCUCCUCCUCCAUCUCUGCUUAAAUCUUGUACUCCUUGAAGCCUAUAAGUCUGAUUAUGUUAUUUAUAAAAAAAUUUUUAAGAGAGAGAAAGAACUCAAGCAGGGGAGAGGGGGCAAGGAGAAAGAGUGAGAAAGAGAGAGAGAGAACUAGAGGGUUUUAAGCAGGUUCCAUGCUCACCUCGGAGCCUGAUAUGGGGCUCUUAACGACCCUGGGAUCAUGACCUGAGCCAAAAUCAAGAGUCAAGUUGGAUGCUAAAUUGACUGAGCCACCCAGGCACCCCUGAUCAUGUUACUUAAAUACUAAAACCUGCUGCCUCUCCAGCAUUCCUUCCCCUGCUAGAUUAUUUUUAUAUCACCUAAAACAUUUUAAUGCAUGGGGCAGGGCACCUCGCUGGCUUAGUCACUGCAGCAUGUGAUUCUUGAUCUCAGAGUUGUGGGUUCCAGCCCCACACGGGGUGUAGAGAUUACUUAAAAAUAAAAUCUUAAAGAAACAAAAAACAGAAACCACCCAACAACUUUCUGGCAUAUUACUAGACAGAGAUCUCUGGAUUCCUCAUUGAUGCAGCCACAGUGCCCAGAACAAUGACCUACUCAUGGCAGACCCUCAGAAACUAUUUGUGGCUGAAACAGAUAUUAGGAACACUUCCCAAGACAACUAACUGUGUGCACAGUGAAGACUGGCGCUGGAAGAAGAAAAAGCUUUUAGCAAGAUUAAGUGUUCUAGACACAGCUCUCUUUUGCCUGGCAGAGAACAGGAUUCCCCGACACUGUCUCGACUACCCUCUCUGGAAGCAGCCUAGGUCAUCACCCCACCAAGGAAGAAGGUUCCUCAAACCGUGACGACACCGUGAACACAGAUGCCAACGGAGGCCAGUCUGUUGAGGAUACAGGUGAUUUACAAACAUUUACUCCUUGUCCCAGCUACCUUUCAGUGUUUGCUUUACCACUUUGGUCACUCUGUUGAACUAGAUGUUCGACUGUUCCAAGGAACCGGACAACUCUCACACAUUUAUGAGGAAAACGCUUCAAGAAGUGAGCUGUGUGAGAAAGGUGUAUCUUAAGAGGACUGGGUUUUUGAUUAAGAUUCCCUACCCAUUACACAGCUCAAAACAGACAAUAAAUACCAAGGAUGUUGAUGACUAAAACCAAGUGCAUUUCUAGAUCAACUGCUGGGGGAGCACUCAUUUGUCAAAUUGUGUCAUUCAACCUGAGAGGUACACCGGGAGUAAAUCAGACUGCAUGGGGCACUAACUGCACUAGAUGGGCUAUGUGGACUUGCUAAAAGCCAUAUUAUUAUGUCCUACUGACUCUAGCUGAUAGGCCUCAUGUAAUGUUUUUAUGAUAAUUGUAAAAAUCCAGUGAUUACU